rnacentral:rRNA from 1 species
CUAUUGGCAUGGGGGGAACCCUGAUCAGCCUGCCGCGUGUGUGAAGAAGGCCUUUUGGUUGUAAAGCACUUUAAGCGAGGAGGAGGCUACUCUAGUUAAUACCUAGGGAUAGUGGACGUUACUCGCAGAAUAAGCACCGGCUAACUCUGUGCCAGCAGCCGCGGUAAUACAGAGGGUGCGAGCGUUAAUCGGAUUUACUGGGCGUAAAGCGUGCGUAGGUGGCCAAUUAAGUCAAAUGUGAAAUCCCCGAGCUUAACUUGGGAAUUGCAUUCGAUACUGGUUGGCUAGAGUAUGGGAGAGGAUGGUAGAAUUCCAGGUGUAGCGGUGAAAUGCGUAGAGAUCUGGAGGAAUACCGAUGGCGAAGGCAGCCAUCUGGCCUAAUACUGACACUGAGGUACGAAAGCAUGGG